rnacentral:tRNA from 1 species
GAGGGUAUGGCUCAGUGGUAGAGCGUGUGCUUAGCAUGCAUGAGGUCCUGGGUUCAAUCCCCAGUAUCGCCA